rnacentral:rRNA from 1 species
ACUCAAAUGAAUAGACGGGGGCUCACACAAGCGGUGGAGCAUGUGGCUUAAUUCGAGGCUACGCGAAGAACCUUAUCCUAGGCUUGACAUGUGCGAAAGCGGUAGGAAGUAGGGAGCGGAAACGUUUCCCCAACGGUAUCCAGUCCGGAACCUACUACAGGUGCUGCAUGGCUGUCGUCAGCUCGUGUCGUGAGAUGUCGGGUUAAGUCCCAUAACGAGCGAAACCCUUGCCUCUAGUUGCCAGCGGGUCAUGCCGGGGACUCUGGAGGGACUGCCGGUGUUAAACCGGAGGAAGGUGGGGAUGACGUCAAGUCCUCAUGGCCUUUAUGCCUAGGGCUGCACACGUGCUACAAUGGUGCAUACAAAGGGACGCAAACUCGCAAGAGGGAGCAAAUCCCAAAAAAUGCACCCCAGUUCAGAUCGAAGGCUGCAACUCGCCUUCGUGAAGUUGGAAUCGCUAGUAAUCGCGGGUCAGCAACACCGCGGUGAAUGUGUUCCUGAGCCUUGCACACACCGCCCGU